CGCUUUCUUGGUGGAGAGCUUUAGGGCGUCCUUUCGUGGAGGAGUUGAGGAAGGAAAGGACCCACAUCACUGUAUAAUUUCAAAAGCCUCCAUCUUUUUUCCUGUUAUAACCCGCUUAAAGAAACCCAAGCGGGCUUUGACUCUAAUUCCCUGGGAUUUUAUUCCCAAAAACCGUGUGAUUUUUGUUUCAUAAUAUUGUCUUUCUUUGACUUUGAUUUUGGGAGUUGCGUAUGUUCACACGCAUAUCUGAUCUUUUAUUUCAUCAUUACUUCCAUUGUUUUCCCCCGGCGUUUUAACACUAUUUUUCACAAUUCUUUUGGGUUCCUGGAUGAUUUUGUUUUCGGCUUAAAGAUUCUUGUUUGGGUGUUUUGGAAAAGAGAAAAGAUUCUUUUUGUUUUUGAUUCAGGGAAAAAUUGAAAAGUUUUACUUUUUGUUUGUCCUUAUUGGAUUGAAAAGAUUAAAGUGCACCAGGAGGAAUAUUUUUUUGUUUGCUGUGGAUGAUGUUGCUUUUGAGCUAUUAGGUUCUUUCUCCGAUCUGGGUUCUUAUUGGCUUCAUCGCUGUUGCAUAAUCUUCUGUCUGGGGUUGAACUCUCUGUGACCUUGAGACAGUAAUCGCUCUUAUAAUGGGUUGGCUGAGCAAAUUUUUUAAAGGCUCUGACCACAAUGUUUCAGAAGGGCAAUAUGAUUCAAAUUAUGGUGGACACAGAGAGGAUAAUCUUCCAUCUACUUCAUGGCAGGACUCCUGGUCAGAGAUUGAAGACAUAGACCGUGCUAUUGCAUUAUCCAUGUUGGAAGAGGAGCAGAAAGGGAAAAAUGUGGUGCUGGAUAGCGAAUUACAGCUAAGUGAAGAUGAACAACUUGCUAGAGCUCUUCAGGAGAGUUUGAAUGUUGAAUCCCCACCAGCAUGGCAUGGAAACAGAAAUGAUACUGGGCGUGGAAGUGGAUAUGGAAAUGGAAAUGGAAAUGGGCACUUCUAUCAACCUAUACCUUUCCCCUAUGCAACGAGUUUUAGGAUAUGUGCUGGGUGUAACGCAGAGAUUGGCCAUGGACGAUUCUUGAAUUGUAUGAGUGCUUUCUGGCAUCCAGAGUGUUUUAGGUGCCGUGCCUGCAACCAACCAAUUUCUGAUUAUGAGUUCUCUAUGUCUGGGAACUAUCCAUAUCACAAAACUUGUUACAAGGAGCUUUAUCACCCAAAAUGUGACGUAUGCAAAAACUUUAUCCCGACCAAUGCAUCAGGUCUUAUUGAAUACCGUGCACACCCUUUUUGGUCCCAGAAAUACUGCCCAUUCCAUGAGCGUGAUGGAACCCCUCGCUGCUGUAGCUGUGAGCGAAUGGAGCCACGGGAGACAAAAUAUGUUGCCCUAGAUGAUGGUCGUAAACUUUGUUUAGAGUGCCUUGACUCUUCCAUUAUGGAUACCAAUCAGUGUCAACCCCUUUAUCUUGAUAUACAAGAAUUCUAUGAAGCGCUGAAUAUGAAAGUGAAUCAGAAAGUCCCAUUGCUGUUGGUUGAGAGGCAAGCCUUGAAUGAAGCCAUGGAUGGAGAGAGACAUGGACAUCAUCACAUGCCGGAAACUAGAGGACUCUGCCUUUCUGAGGAACAAACAGUCAGCACUAUUUUGCGCCGGCCAAGAAUAGGGGCUGGAAAUCGUUUCAUAGAGAUGAGAACGGAACCCUAUAGAUUAACACGCCGCUGCGAAGUGACAGCAAUACUAAUUCUAUAUGGCCUUCCUAGGUUACUUACGGGAUCAAUCUUAGCACAUGAGAUGAUGCAUGCAUGGCUUCGACUUGGAGGUUAUCGAACUCUUAGCCAAGAUGUUGAAGAAGGCAUAUGUCAAGUGUUGGCACACAUGUGGUUGGAAUCUCAAAUUAUGUCGAUGUCGAAAGGCAGCAGUGCAUCAACAUCGUAUUCGGCCAGUUCAUCGUUAAAGAAUGGGACUAGAUCUCCUUUUGAGAGGAGACUCGGGGAGUUCUUUAAACACCAGAUAGAAUCUGACACGUCGCCAGUGUAUGGAAAUGGGUUUAGAAGCGGUAACCAGGCAGUACUUAAGUAUGGUUUGGAGAGGACAUUGGAACAUAUCCGGAUGACAGGGACCUUCCCUUUUUGAAAAGAUUUGAUUUUUAACUUAGGAACUGCUGUCUUUAUUGUUUUCCUAUAGAGUGAAGCUUUAUCCAUUCAUAUUAGCUUCCUUUAGAGUUACUAUACCUUGUAGUUCCAAGGAAGGUCUCUUCGUAGAAUUCAGAAAAAAGAAAAAAAAAUUGUUUUUCUAGCUUGUUCAUUUGAUUCUUAUAGUAAUAGUAUAUAUAUUCUCGCCUUUAUCUGUGUUGGAUCCUUUGUUUUUUGUUUUUAAUAUCAUCAUAUACGGGCAUUCGCAUAACAUAUAACUGAUACAAGAUACAUUAUGGCAGUUUGAAAUAAGCGUUUCAAAUGCUCAUUCUUGAUAUGAUUUCUGUAAGCUUGCUUGUAUUUUCAGCAGACUAGGCACUACUUCUCCCAUGGUGGGGCGAUCGGCUGGAUCUGUUGCCAAGCAUCUCAGGGCUAAUUUUGCGGUCUGAAAUGCGAGCUCUACUCCACCGUGUUGUUUGAGGUCAGCCUCGAUGAAAUUAGCGACUUCGGUUUCUGCAUUUUCUCGUCUGAAAAUGGAAACGAUGGCUGCGGAUAGUAAUGCUUCUCUACCUUCACGUGCAAAAACAGCAGGCUUCCCUGUGAGUAAUUCUAACAGCACGACUCCAAAGGCGUAUACGUCUAUCUUGGGAGUAACUGAAGCUGUGUCGAGAUACUCCCGAGCCAGUCGAGGAGAAUGUUUCUGCUGCAAAUGUUCUUGUGAACGUAGCCCGGGUCUGUGAAGCUGUGGAGAUAAUGAAGCCCAUUGGCAACAUCUAUGGCGAUUUGAAUCCUCAGACUCCACCUCUCCGUAACUUCUUUGGGUGUUUUCUUCUUCAGCCAUUCCCUGAGAGAACCGUUCUUCAUGUACUCAAAAACCAAGUAGUAGCAGCCCUGAUGAACAGAGAAUCCAUGGAGCUUUACCAGGUUGAAAUGAUUGAUUUUGUUGAGCAUAUUAACCUCCUCUGAUGCAUCUGUGCUCAUCUUCUUGAUCACCACAUCAUCUCUCCCUUUAAACACGCCCCGAUACACUGAAGAUCCCUUGAUUCUGUUCCUGGAACCGAAAUCUCCAGCAGCCUUUUUCAAGUCCUUGAACCUGAAAACUUCAAGGCUUCGAUCAAUGCCCGCAAUCUCAACCAAGAUAUCCUCUACUGGCUCUGCAGAAUUUCCCUUUUUCUUCUUCUUCCUUAUGAAUGGAUACAUGACACAAAUAACCAUAACUGAGAUCACCACAGAAACCCCCACUGCAACUCCACUACCUAUAUAUACACCUCUCUUUGACCUUCUUCUUGAAACACCAGAUUCAGGCUGAGGAGAGAUGGGAGUUUUGCUGUUUCGAGAUAUGAUUGAAGGGUUGCCGCCAGAUAAAGGAACAAGAACGGUAGUAAAAGGAAACAGAGUUGAAUCUUCUCCAGAAACACCAUUUCCUGCAACUAUUUCCACUGUGCUUACAUUGAAUUUUUCAGCAAUUCCAGUGAUAUUAUCUCCCCAGUCAAUGGAGUAAGUCAGCAGAUACUUGGUCCCGUUCAAAAUCUGAUCUUUAGUUGGACAGGCGCAACGAAGAGGAAUCUGCAGCUCCAAACCAGGUUUCAGACUGAAUUCAUCGUAUACAUUUUCUGCUUCAAGGGACUGGCAAGUCGACAGGCCUUGGUAAGUAGUAUUCGCUAUGGAAAAGUAUGUUUGGUCGGGGGAUGGGAUCUGGUACGAGGUUUUUGCUGCGUAGUACUGACCCGAACAGGAACACUUCACCGGAACGACAACCUCCUUGUCUUCCGGGAAAGCUGUCAGCUUUGAGGCGGCGUUGUUCAGUCGUGCUAUUUCUGAGGCGUUGGAUGACAGGAGAGCUGCAAUGGCGGGGACAGUGUUGAACGGAAACCUUGCCCGGAAGAUCAGAAACGCCCUGCAAGUGAACAGCUGCCCAUUGCAGGUGUAGAGAUAAGCCGGAGAUGGCGGCUCGUUGGCGUCAGUGUUCUUGCAAUCGAGCGCUGAGUUUCCCGAGUAUUCUUGUUGAGCUCCGGUGUGUGGAGUGACAGAAAGGACGAUGAAAGCACAGAUCAGAACCCGAUUCAUCUUAGUUCUUCUUUCUUGAGGGAACAAGUUUCAUCUCCAAGUUAAGAAUGAGGAGUUUCGGAGUUUUUUAUGAUUGUUGUCAUCGUCUUAACAUAAACGCGUGAAAGAUUAUGAUAUAAUUUCCAUUUUUGACUUGUUUAACUAGCAUCUAUCCAAGAUUAUCCUGACCGCAGAAAUCCAGGAGAAAUCUACUGUUACAUAUAAUAUAGGUAGAUUUAAAAGAUGGAAUGUUUCUUCUUGACAUGAUUUCUUUAAUUUAUGGAUUUUUCGUUGUAGUUUCUCUUGGACACAUGCUAAAACCAGACAAGUUGGUCUUUUGUUAUGAAACCAGAAGUCAUUUUGUUCU